CAAAAUAAAUACUGCUUUAUUGUGCAGAAUACAAAAAUUUUGACGUUUCAGUCACAAUAGACUUUUCUCAAGGUCUUGAGAAAAGUCUAUUGUGACUGAAACGUCGACAUUUUUGUAUUCUGCACAAUAAAGCAGUAUUUAUUUUGAUAUAAAACGAAGACUCCAGAGUGCUCUCUACUU
rnacentral:sRNA from 1 species